rnacentral:rRNA from 1 species
UAGGGAAUCUUCGGCAAUGGACGAAAGUCUGACCGAGCAACGCCGCGUGAGUGAAGAAGGUUUUCGGAUCGUAAAACUCUGUUGUUAGAGAAGAACAAGGACGUUAGUAACUGAACGUCCCCUGACGGUAUCUAACCAGAAAGCCACGGCUAACUACGUGCCAGCAGCCGCGGUAAUACGUAGGUGGCAAGCGUUGUCCGGAUUUAUUGGGCGUAAAGCGAGCGCAGGCGGUUUCUUAAGUCUGAUGUGAAAGCCCCCGGAUCAACCGGGGAGGGUCGUUGGAAACUGGGGGACUGGAGGGCAGAAGAGGAGAGUGGAAUUCCAUGUGUGGCGGUGAAAUGCGUAGAUAUAUGGAGAAACACCAGUGGCGAAGGCGGCUCUCUGGCCUGUAACGGACGCUGGGGAUCGAAAGCGGGGGGAGCAAACAGG